GACAGAGGGUGCAACCGUUGUUCGGAAUUACUGGGCGUAAAGCGUGUGUAGGCGGCCCUGCAAGUCAGGUGUGAAAGCCCCAGGCUCAACCUGGGAAGUGCACUUGAAACUGCUGGGCUCGAGUAUCGGAGAGGUUGGUGGAAUUCUCGGUGUAGAGGUGAAAUUCGUAGAGAUCGGGAGGAACACCGGUGGCGAAGGCGGGUCUCUGGGCAUCUCCUGACGCUGAGGCGCGAAAGCGUGGGGAGCAAACGGG
rnacentral:rRNA from 1 species